AGGGGGGGGGCCAUCAGUGGGGUACGGGACCCAUAAGUGGGGUGGGGACCCAUCAGUGGGGGCUGCCCCAUAAGUAGGGGGGGACACCCAUCAGUGGGGCUGCCCCAUACGUGUGGGAGGGGGGACCCAUAAGUGGGGGGGGGGACCCAAAUGGGUCUCAAUGUCCCCAAAUGGGCCUCAAUGUCCCCAAAUGGGCCUCAAUGUCCCCAAAUCAGAUCCCACUGUCCCCAAAUGGGCCUCAGUGUCCCCAAAUGGGUCUCAAUGUCCCCAAUUCUGAUCCCAUUGACCCCAAAUGGGUCUCAAUGUCCCCAAAUCAGAUCCCACUGUCCCCAAAUGGGCCUCAAUGUCCCCCAAAUAGGGUCCCACUGUCCCCAAAUGGGUCUCAAUGUCCCCAAAUGGGCCUCAAUGUCCCCAAAUGGAUCCCACUGUCCCCAAAUGGGUCUCAAUGUCCCCAAAUGGGUCUCAAUGUCCCCAAUUCUGAUCCCACUGUCCCCAAAUGGGUCUCAAUGUCCCCAUAUGGGCCUCAAUGUCCCCAAAUGGGUCUCAAUGUCCCCAAAUGGAUCCCACUGUCCCCAAAUGGGCCUCAAUGUCCCCAAAUAGGGUCCCACUGUCCCCAAGCCUGAUCCCACUGUCCCCAAAUGCUUUCCAUCGUCCCCAAAUGGGCCUCAAUGUCCCCAAAUGGGUCUCAAUGUCCCCAAAUGGGGUCCCACUGUCCCCAAAUGGGUCUCAAUGUCCCCAAUUUUGAUCCCACUGUCCCCAAAUGGGUCUCAGCGCCCCACAGCCCCCCCCUUCCCCCCAUAACCCCCCCAUAUCCCCCCACAUCCCCCCGUCCCCUACCUGACACCGCCGCCUUUGGGACCGUCCCCAAAUGGGUCUCAAUGGCCCCAUAUCAUAUCCCAUUGUCCCCAAAUCAGAUCUCAAUGUCCCCAAAAUUGGGUCUCAACGUCCCCAAAUGGGCCUCGAUGUCCCCAAAAUUGGGUCGCAAUGUCCCCAAAUGGGCCUCCAUGUCCCCAAAUCAGAUCCCACUGUCCCCAAAUGGGCCUCAAUGUCCCCAAAUGGGCCUCAAUGUCCCCAAAUGGGCCUCAAUGUCCCCAAAUCAGAUCCCACUGUUCCCAAAUGGGUCUCAAUGUCCCCAAAUAGGGUCCCACUGUCCCCAAAUGGGCCUCAAUGUCCCCAAAUCAGAUCCCACUGUCCCCAAAUGGGUCUCAAUGUCCCCAAAUGGGUCUCAGCCCCCCCCCUUCCCCCCAUAACCCCCCCAUAUCCCCCC
rnacentral:lncRNA from 1 species